UCAGAAUGUUCUAAACCUAAAUCUUCCUUGCUAAUAUUUGGGCCCACUUCCACAUUUUUUUUUGUUGCCAAUUGGAGAACGAUUUUUGAUCACUUUUUAUUUUUAGGGCAAUUUUACCUGCAUUAUCUUAUUAUACACAUGCAAAUGCUUUUUGAAUAAGUAGGGCAUCAUAGGACAUUGGAAAGAGCACAGACUCUGACAGACCUGGCUAUGGAUCAGAAUUCUGUCACUCAAGCUAUAUGACUUUGGUCAAUUCAUUUCACCUCAUUGAAUCUCAGCUUCCCCGUCUGUAAAAUGGGGAUUGUUAUGCAUGUGUUACAAAGUUGCAUUAGGAACUAGACUAAUGUAUGUUAAGCAUUAGGCCAGUACUUGGAAUAUAGUGGAUGCUAGAUAAGUAGCUGCUAUUAUUAUUUUCCAUGUUUUACAGAUUAGGAAGCUGAAACACAGACAUAUUAAAUGGCCUUGGCCAGCUUUGGGGGGAUAAGGUUCCCAGUUAUUAUCGGAAAAUUGCAGCCUGACUUUUGAUCAAGCCUCACUGAGAAUGAGGUUGUAGGACACACAGAAAAGUUCAGAAGCAAAAAGUAUAGAAAAAUCAGUAACACCAAAGCAAGCAAAUAAUCAACAUGUAUUUAUUGAGCACCUUGUAAGCAUAUGGUAUUCUGUGCACAAGUUGGGGUACUUUGGAUUGCAAAUGGCCAAAUCCCAACUUGCACACACAAAAAGGAAAACUUAUUGGCUGGUGUAACCCAAACACAGGUUGUAGGGAACUGAUCAUAGAGAUGUCUGAAUUCAAUGUCAGGAACACUUUUAGGGCUUACACUCUCUAUUUCUGACAAGAGUUUCUAUUUCUAUUUCUGACAAGGUUAUCUUUGCAGAUAGCUGUCUCUAUGCCAUGGGGAACAUGGCUUCCAAUAACUUUGGUCUCUCAUCUUUUCCUAGAAGCUCUUCUACCAGCAAAGAAAGAGGAUUUCUUCCCAUUUGGCUCCAGCCUGGAAACAAUCCCAAGAAUGACUUGUAUUGGAUCAAUGGAGGUUGCAUACUCCCUCCCAAACUGCACACCAAGCCAGGAAGAUGGGGUAAUAUGAUUGGUCCAAUCAAGAGUUCAUGUCGACCCUUAUCAUUAAGGUGUUGGUUUUAUUUUUUUAUCUUCAUGGAAGGAAGUUUAUUGGAGCAAGCAAAGAUAGUAACCUUUAUCUUAUAUGAGAUGUAAUAAAGAAAUUAAUAUUUUAAUGGUAGAGUUGGUUUAAAGAGCCAAAAGACUAGAAUCUCAGGAUGUCUAGCUAAGAUACUACAGGGCCCAGGUGGACAUGUCAUGUGGAUUUUUCAGCCAAAAAGGGAAACUUACCAUAUUUUUGCCUCCCAAUGUAUUAGCUCAUAGAGUACAGACUUAAAUUUAUUUCUUAACAUGCAUGUCUUUUAAUGGAGAAAGUUACAGACACUUGGGUACUAUCUUAGAAAAAGCAGAACUCUUAGGGGCACGUGGGUGGCUCAGUCAUUUAAGUGACUGACUCCUAAUUGAUUCUGGCUCCUAUUGAUUUUGGCUUAGGUCAUGAUCUCACAGUUGUGAGACUGAGCCCUGAUUUGGGCUCUGCAAUGAGCAUGGAGCCUGCUUGGGAUAUUCUCUCUCUCUCUCUCUCUCUCUCUCCUCUCUCUCUCUCUCUCCCUCUCCCCCUCUCCCCCUCUCCCUCCCUCCCUCCCUCCCUCCCCCUCUCUCAAAUAAAUAAAUAAACUAGAAAGAAAAGAAAAGAAAAAGCACAACUCUCUGAGAGGGUGGCUGGAGGCUGGACCACAGACUGACUUCCUGUCCUUUGAAAAAGUCCUGGGGGAAAUGCAUUAUUCUAACAGCUUGCUUAAUGCGUUUGCUUCCUGUGGAGAGGGGUUGGGGGUAGGAACUCAAAGCAGACUUAUAAAUUGAGUUCUAUAGUGCAGGGACUUCUCCAAAACUCUCGGCUGGGUUUAUUUAAGACACUGAACUGUUUGCUGUUGGCUCCAGUAUUUCAGUGUCCACUCACUAUUUCGUUCAUAGGAGAACAUGGUAUUAUAUUAGAGAUAUGGGGAGAUCAUGACUGGGGGAGGAGACUGUUUUGACUUUUUAUGCCAAAAUCAACAUUCCCCGCUCAUGUCACAGGAGCCCCAGAGCCUCCUGUCAUCUGGGCUCUCCAUUCAAGGUUACCUUGAUUACUUUCAAGGCUUUAGUCAUGAAUCUUUCUUAACUGUUUUUACCUCAAAAUAGUGUCUUUAACAACUCACUGUUGCUUUUUUCUGUGUCAAAAUUAGAAGUAUCCCAACUGUUUUCCAGCACCAAAUUCUUUCCUCUUUCACCUCUCUGGGAAACUAACUCCAUCCAUUAUGCCAACUUCUGUUUACAUCUUCGAUUACCCCUUUGCUGCACCUUUCUCCACACAUCUACCUACAGGACUGUCCCCUUGAGAUAUCAUCAAAAGAGAUAAUGAAUGUGGGUGUACUCUAUGACUGUAAAGUGUAAUAUAAAUAUGGAAUAACAUCAUUAUCUUAUCUUUCUUAACAGUCAUCUCAAAAAAUUAUCAAUGUAAUGUAUUUCUUGACUUUACUUUCUCACUAUCAACUCAUUACUUAAUGUCUUAAAAGCUGAUGUGUCGUAAUGUGUUGAGGAUGGGAGGGCGGGGGCAGGUGUCCAUAUCUUUGAGUCUUCUUCCAGUAUGUGGCACAUUUGACUCUGCCCUCCUCUUUCAGUGUCUGUAACUCACUGCUUUGGUUCACCUCUCUGAGUACUCUUCUCUCUCCUUUAAUGCCCAUCUUUUUCCUUCUGCCUCUGAAUGGGAGUUGUCUCUAUCAUUCUGUUCUUGCUCCUACUUACCCUGCCCCCUCUCUUUUGUUCUCAUAAGUACUUGUUAAAACAAAUCUCAUCUCUGUCUCUUCCCUUCAACCUGUUAAAUGCCCACUGUAAUUUUAACCUACAUAUCUCACUAGCCCCAAACAUGAGGUAUAUAAAAUAAACUCUUACCCCAUCCUAAAUAUCUUCCACCCCAUCUCAGCCAACAGUGUUACUUUUUAGUCACGUAGGCUUGAAACCUUGGUUCCUGUUUUGAUUCCUUGCUCUCUUAUCCCUGAAUCCAAUUUAAGCUAUAUUUUAAGAAUAUAUUAUUCUGUUCACCUGUCUUCACUCUGUCUCUGCCUUCUGCCUUCUCUUUCUUCAGGCAGUGAUAGUUCAAGCUGCUGGGAUAGCACACCGUCUUACUUUGCUUUUGGUAAGGUUGUCCAGAAGUAUUUUGUGGCCAUACUUUUUUUCUCUUCCUCAUUCUGGAUUCUUUCCCUUUUCUGAACUGAAUAACCAUUUGAACUUUAUUCAUAAAGAUCACUAAAUCUUUUUCUACACUAAUACCUUUCUCAAAACCUAAAUAUAGGGGCGCCUGGGUGGCGCAGUCGGUUAAGCGUCCGACUUCAGCCAGGUCACGAUCUCGCGGUCUGUGAGUUCGAGCCCCGCGUCGGGCUCUGGGCUGAUGGCUCAGAGCCUGGAGCCUGUUUCCGAUUCUGUGUCUCCCUCUCUCUCUGCCCCUCCCCCGUUCAUGCUCUGUCUCUCUCUGUCCCAAAAAUAAAUAAACGUUGAAAAAAAAAAUAUAUAUAUAUAUAAAAAAAAAAAACCUAAAUAUAUACUAACAUGUUUAGAAUGGCCUGUAUAACAUGUCUAGUUAAGUAACAGGUGUAAGCUGACCAUUGUUUAUAAGCAUUGACAUGAAAAAAAUACAUUUCAUAGCUAUGUGUUUUAUUAGUAUAAUUUGACAUCUUCAAAUAUAAUCAGUAACUUCAUAUUAGGAUAUCAUUUCAACCAUAUUUGAUUUAGAAAGCUAAAGUUUGGAAGAUCUAAUGAUGGGCUAGUAAAUGUAUAUUAAACAUAUUGCUUAAGUUUUUAUACAUUUCUAGCAAUCAUCAGCAUAUAAUUCCAGUUUAUGUGUAAACUCAUCAGAAAUAUCACUUCAAUCUCUAGGACUCGUGUCCUCUUACUUUAUUUCUGCAUAUCCUAUUAAUAAGGAAUGAUUAAGGACAGCUUUAGUUUUCUCAGUUUCAACCUUAAAGAUGUAUAUGGUAACAAUAGCAUACUGUGUAACUGUUAAAAAAAAAUCUAGAAGCUCCUUAUGUGUUUAUAUGGAAAGAUCUCUGUUAUAAACUGGGUGUGUCUCCCAUCCCCCCAAUUCCUGUGUUGUUGAAGCCUUAAACCUGAAUGUUAUGGUGUUUGGGGAGUAAUUGGGGUUAGAUGAGGUCAUAAAGAUGGGAUCGCAUCAGGGUGGGAUCACUGUUUUUAUAAUAACAGACACUGGAAGACAUACUGUUUCUCUCUCUCUAGUGAGGACACAGUGAGAAGGUGGCCAUCUGCAAGCCAGGGAGACAGCUCUCACCAGAACCCACCCAUACUGCCACCCUGACCUCAGAUUUCCAGUCUCCAGAACUGUGAGAAAAUAAACUUCUGUUGUUUAAGCCACAUAAUCUAUGGGGUUUUCUUAUGGUUGCCCAAGCUUAUUGAUACAAUCUCCAAGAUUUAUUUGUAGGUAGGGAAAAGGGGGUGCCAAAAGAGUGUAUCGUUGGGAUGAAGAAAAGAAAAGAGUCUAUACUUGUACUGGUUUGUAUAUCCAUUCUAAACGUCCUGGGAAUAAAUGAGAAACUAAUAAUGUUGUUUACUUUUUUGUGGGGCUAUAGGAACUUGACAGAGGACGGGGUGGAAAGGAACCUUUGCUGUAUAUCCUUCUCUAUCUUUUGAUGUUUGAACUAUGUGUAUGUGCCACCACUUCAGAAAACUAAAUAAAU
rnacentral:lncRNA from 1 species